UCGUACUUAUCACACUUAUAUAUACCUUAAUUUUCUUGGGAAUUAUUUAAAUUUGUGGAAGUUACAAGUAGUUUUAACCACCACGAUGAAAGCGUUUGCGUUGUUUAUUAUUAUCUUUGCGAUAACUCUAACAUCCAACUCACAAGCACCGCCAGGUGUAAAUUAUCGCUGUUUUGGACUACCAUGCCCUCCUACUACAGUCUUCUGUCAGAGACUUCAAUACACUUCGCUCAAUAACACACUUAUGGGAACAGCACUUGACUGUCUUGAUAAUGAUCUAACAAUACUCAACUCUUCCGCUAACAUUCAACCGAAUCCUUUUGGUGACUGGAGCUAUCAGGCCCUUACUAGGACUCUCGUCCAAACCUCCUAAUACCUAUCACUAUUUACUAUCAGGAACUUGUUGAACGACUAAAUCAAGUACAAGCUCCUAAUUAUGGUGAAAUACGUAGUGUUUCUAUUAUAAUCAAUAAAAUGGUGAUGUAUUGA